rnacentral:rRNA from 1 species
GUCACACCUGUUCCCAUCUCGAACACAGAAGUUAAGCUUCUUAGCGCCGAUUGUAGUGAAGGGUUUCCCUUUGUGAGACUAGGACGUUGCCGCGC